UACGGGGGGGGCAAGCGUUGUCCGGAAUUACUGGGCGUAAAGGGCGCGUAGGCGGCCAACUAAGUCGGACGUGAAAUCCCUCGGCUUAACCGGGGAACUGCGUCCGAUACUGGUUGGCUUGAGUUUGGGAGAGGGAUGCGGAAUUCCAGGUGUAGCGGUGAAAUGCGUAGAUAUCUGGAGGAACACCAGCGGCGAAGGCGGCAUGCUGGACUGGUCCUGACACUCAUGAGCGAAAGCGUGGGGAGCGAUCGGG
rnacentral:rRNA from 1 species